UACGUAGGGGGCUAGCGUUGUCCGGAAUCAUUGGGCGUAAAGAGCGUGUAGGCGGCCCGGUAAGUCCGCUGUAAAAGUCAAAGGCUCAACCUUUGAAUGUCAGUGGAUACUGCCGGGCUAGAGUCCGGAAGAGGCGAGUGGAACUCCUGGUGUAGCGGUGGAAUGCGCAGAUAUCAGGAAGAACACCAACGGCGAAGGCAGCUCGCUGGGACGGUACUGACGCUGAGACGCGAAAGCGUGGGGAGCAAACGGG
rnacentral:rRNA from 1 species